rnacentral:siRNA from 1 species
UCUUCUACCUCUAUACAAUUAAA